UACAGAGACUGCAAGCGUUAUUCGGAUUCACUGGGCGUAAAGGGUGCGCAGGCGGCCAAGUGUGUUAGGCGUGAAAGCCCGGGGCUUAACCCCGGAAUUGCACCUAAAACUACUUGGCUAGAGCAUUGGAGAGGGUAGCGGAAUUCACGGUGUAGCAGUGAAAUGCGUAGAUAUCGUGAGGAACACCAGAGGCGAAGGCGGCUACCUGGACAAUUGCUGACGCUCAGGCACGAAAGCGUGGGGAGCAAACAGG
rnacentral:rRNA from 1 species